GAAAUUGACUCAUGGUUUUUGUCAAAUGGUAUAAGCGUUCCAUUUACCUUAAAAUAUUUUUUAUUUGGGGAUACUACAAAAUCAUUUAGGGGGAAUGCUGCAAAUUUGAUUAUAUAUGCAGAUAAAACAAUAUAUUUUCAACUGCAAAUAUUUUAAGAAAUCUCUAUCAAUGCAGGCAGUGCAAAGUAAAAUAAAAUCUUUAUACAA
rnacentral:lncRNA from 1 species